GCUCUCUUUCACAGGUUGCUCCUUCCAUCAGCUAUAGGAAGUCAGAAAACAGGGAUAUAUUUGUCGUCUUUUUUAGCACUAAUGAAACUCAUCCUCUAGGCAUAAAGGGCAUACAAAAACCUUAUGUGUUACUGCCGGUCAAACUCGACGCCUGGAUGUAAUCCGCAAUGUGACAUUGCCUUCUGCAGCUCCAGAAGAUGAGUAGUUGGAGGCUUAUACAGAGAAAGAGGGCAUGUCCUUCAUUUGGGGAUUUUUGUUUGGCUACUGCUUCCUCGCUAAGGUGAGACAGUCAUACUAAAAUGCCAUAGGCACCUCUCACCUUAUUCUUUAGAUACUUCUGCAAUACAUCUCUAGAUCAAAAUACCAGACUUUACUCUGCUAUAGACUUACGAGCAAGUGAUUGAUAAACACAAUUAUUGUGCAAGGCUCUGGUGGGCAGCACAAGGACAUUACUGCUAUUGUCACAAUUUUUAAAAGGAUUCUGCUUACAGACUGAAGCACUAACCAGAGCAACAUUGGUGUACGUCUCCCCUUCUUACCUGCCAGCCAAGAUUGAGUCUCCAAAAGCUCUUCAGUCAUGUCUUCCAGAAGAUGUUGAGCAGGGACACUAAGGAGUAUGGAGGAGAUACAGGACAAGAGACCCUGGCGCACAUACCUGUUGGAGGAGGACUGAAUUGAAUACCACUCACCCGAACAAGGUCUGAUCCCUCGUUCCAGCCAGAAAACACAAGGUUUGCUAACAUCAGCAGGUACUGAAAGCUCCUUCCUCUCCGAGUCUGCUCAUAAGAACCUGCCGAAUAUAUUCUACUACCUACCAGUUUCUUGCCCUGUGGCUUGUUCUAAUGUAUACCUGUCAAGCUCAGCAUCCGACUCUCCACCUGGUGUCGCACAGGCUGCUGUAGAUGGUUUCUCAUUGCUCUCCAAUACCACUGGCCGUGCAGCAUCUGCUCUUUCAUUCCUGCUGUGAGCAACAAGCAGCAUCAAUAAAGUAACAGUCCUUAUUCGCAAGACACUACUGACAUCACGCAACCUUGCUGCUUAAAAGGAACAGUAGAUACUUAUUUCUGCUGUGGUCUCCCACCUAGCUUGACCUGCAUCAGGAACAAAGUACUAGGAGGGGGAAUGGGAGAAGAGACCUGGAAUCUCACAGUGAAGGAACAAGUGAUGACAAAAAUUAAGUUAGCUAAUUUGCUGCAUUCCAGCUGCACUAACUUCUGUCUAGGACAACUAAGGAAAGACUCAUUUGUGGUAAGUGGAUCACACUGGCCUGCAUGGUAUUCAAAGCUAUGAGCAAAACUGAACAAAUAGAGAAGAAGCAUCUUUAACUUUUCCUAAUGGGAUGAAUAUGAUAACAGAGAAAAAAAAUCCGUCUGUAUAACUAUUUCUGAAGCCUUGGGCAUGUCCUUUCACCUCUUUGCUUCUGAACUGUGGUCCUGAACAGCUACCUGUGCUGAUGAGGCUCCUAAAAUGCAAGUAAUAAAUCUGUAUUUCACUAGAGUUCUAGACAGCUUCAUUUCCUAACAACAUUAAGUCCUUCCUUCAUUUGCUGAUCAUGUGCUUCAAGAGCCUCAGAGGAUGCCAUGGAAGCUAAGAGUGCCACAGAACCAAUCUUUAGACAUGCUAGAUUUUUGUUAUGGAGGAACAGGUUCGGGGCAUACGGUCCAAAUUCCAAAAGAUUCUCCAGAUGUGAACAGAAUGGUCUGGCUGAUGUUACUCAGGGGCACGCAUGACCCCUAGAAACUGCAGUACGGUUUCAGUAUGUGCAGCUGUCACACGAGCAGUUUUAAUACAGGCUACCACUUGAAUUAAAUGAAUUAUGAAUUUAACAUGAUUGUACUGCCUUGUAAGAAUAAAGUGUGUUAUAAUGCUUUAUAAGAAUAAAUAUGAUACAAAUCUUUAA